GUCAGGGCCACCUGCAGCAAGUGAACGUCCUUGGGAAGGUCUUCUCGAAUGUGCCCCUGUCACCUCCCACGGGCCUAUGAAAACCCACGCUGUCAUAAGAACCAAGAAAUUCAAAUCGUGUCCCCUAAGGACACGGGGAACUGCCGGAGCCUUGAAUUAUUCGUAUCUAGCAAUCCAGCAUAUGUGCUUUCUGUCAUCCCGAUACCCUGGAGGGGUGCACCAGACCCAGCAGCCGGGCUGGCACAGAACCCGGUGCUCCAGAAGCCCAAACAAGCAUUUAGUCGUUGGAGCAACAGUGGUCUCACAGGUUUCCUGGAGAUGCUCGCCCACUCCACCCCCAAGACAGAGGCUGACCUGGAAUUCAUCAUGCCCAGCUACUAGAGAUCUUCAGCCACUGAGCACAUCCAGGUGAACAAAGCCCCUACUGUGCGCACUGUCCUUACAGAGCUUGUGGCCACAGUCCUCCUACAUGUGGACUUUACUGCUUCACUGAGAUGAUCUUCCCUGGAAAGGGACAAGCUACUCCUGAACUAGAAGAGGAGAAAAAGGUAAUCCCAGAAGGAACAAGGGGCCCGGGAAUAAAGCCAGCAUAUAAAAAACAUAAAUAACAGGUUUAAAAAGAGAGUAUUGGGGAUGUAGCUUAAGUGGUAGGGCGCUUACCUGACAUGCUUGAAACCCUGGGUUUGAUCCCAGUACUAGCAGAGAGGGUAGAAGGAAGGAGAGAAGGAAGGAAGAGAGGGAAGGAGGAAGGAGAGAAGGAAGAAAGAGAGGGAAGGAGGAAGGAGAGAAGGAAGGAAGAGAGGGAAGGAAGGAAGGGAAGGAGGGAGGGAGAAGGGAAGAGUUCUAGCUUCUUUCUCCCAUAGCAUUGCCACUAGUCCUAUUCCCAGAAGUAACUAUGAGCUUACACAGUUGUUUUUGCUAGUCCCGCUUAAAUUCAUACAGGUCAGCAGCCUGUGUCGUACCACAAAUUGAAUUGAACAAGCGGGAUCCAGGAACUGGUCUGAACCACCUUACCUGAGCUAUGCAAUGAGGAGCCCAGGGCGUCUGCCUUUUCCCUCUGGGCUCAUCUUGAUGACUGGCGAGUACAGCUAACUCUGAGAAUGCUGCUAUCCUUCAAGAAAACCCAUAAUCUACAGUGAGCUGUAUUUCGUCCUUGAAGAUGACACAGUGGGCUGAUUAGAGCGGUGCACAAUAGGGCCUCUUGUAGACUCGGCCCCUGCUAAUUGCUGGAGACACAGUACACUGCCCUGCAAACUCCGACCACUCUCACGGUGUGGGUUUCUUGCUGCUCGAGCUGGCUGCAGACUGCUGUGCUUCUCUGUGGGUCCCCAACAGCAGAGGGC
ensembl:lncRNA AABR07032520.4